GCCCGUAUGGUCUAGUGGUAUGACGUUCGCCUCACAAUUCGUUACAAACAAAGUGUGUCCGCGACAGGUCCCAGGUUCGAGCCCUGGUGUGGGCA